UACGUAGGUGGCAAGCGUUGUCCGGAUUUACUGGGCGUAAAGGGCGUGCAGGCGGUUUGUUAAGUGCAGGGUGAAAGCUCCCGGCUCAACUGGGAGAGGUCCUUGCAUACUGGCAGACUUGAGGGAGGCAGAGGAAAGUGGAAUUCCCGGUGUAGAGGUGAAAUUCGUAGAUAUCGGGAGGAACACCGGUGGCGAAGGCGGCGACCUGGGUAGAUACUGACGCUGAGGUGCGAAAGCGUGGGGAGCAAACAGG
rnacentral:rRNA from 1 species